AAUUUGCCCUCCUCUCUUGGGACUAGCAUUAACAUAUUUGCAUUUCAUUCUAGGACAUUAGGCAUUUCAUAUUGCAUAGCAUGUGGUUACAUUGUGCAAGUCAUCCUCCCAAGUCUUGAUCAGAAGAUGAGGAAGUCAGGAAGUGCAAGCCUAGGGUUUAUUGAUUGAUCAUGGCCAUCUGAGGAUUGGGCUGUGAAUUAGGGUUUCAUGAUUUUC
rnacentral:lncRNA from 1 species